rnacentral:rRNA from 1 species
UACGACAAUGUCUCGGAAAGUGACUCAGUGGAGUAGACUUGUCCACGACAAUGCGGAGUACCUGCAGCAGAGCAGAAAGCUCCUAUGAAGCUUUACUGUACCUUGACUUGAAAUUAGACUAUACUUGCGCAAUAUAGGUGGGAUGAGUUGAAAAUACUCUUAGUCUUCAGCGAGAUACCACCUUCGCAACGAUAGAUUUC